GUAUUGAGAAAAGCUGAAAAACUGUUAGCCUUCCAUAACACAUUAAACGUUUUGUGUAUGGAUGGCUUAGGACAAUAAACAACAUCAUUAAAGUAAAAUUAUGUCAGUCUGUUCAUAUUAACUUAUUUAAAUCAAUGAAAAUUUUGAUGAGAUGACUAAAUGGAUGCUUUGGAAAUGCAGGAUUAUAGGAGGCCUAAAAGUGCAUCUUGUUUCUUGUAACCCUUUUAAAACCAAUAUGCCUGGCUAGGUGCAGUGGCUCAUGCCUGUAAUACCAACGGGGUAACACAGGGUUAUGCCGUCUAUACAAAAAAAUAAAUGAGCUGGGCAAGAUGGCAUGCACCUGUAGUCCCAGCUGCUUGGUAGGCUGAGGGGGAAGGAUUGCUUGAGCCUGGGAGGUCGAGACUGCAGUGAGCCAAGAUCACACCACUGCACUCCAGCCUGGGUGACAGAGCAAGACUCUACCUCAAAAAUAAAAAUAAUCAAUAUAGUUUCAAUGAAGCAAAGCAUCUCAGGUAACAAUUUGAGCAUAACUUUAACCAUAACUUAUGAUAGCAUAAUAACAUUCAUUAGUAAUUCAGUAGCCGUAUGUGCCAGGCUGUGUUAGGUGCUUUAUAUAUUGUUUAAUUUUUAAAAACUUGUGGAGUGUACAGAUUGGUAAGGUGACAUUGUAUCACAAAGCUAGUCUUUGAGUCCAAAGUUUUGUGGUUUUAUGUUAUGAUAUACUUUUAUCAUGGAAUUGUCUUAUUAAAUGUUUUGCCAGUGGUUCUUAAAGUGUGUUUCUGACACCAGUAGCAUUGACUUCACUUAGAAACCUGUUAGAAAUACAAAUUAUUUGGCCCCACCCAACACUUGAGUCACAAACUUUGCAGAUGGGGCUCAAUCUGUUUUAACAAGCGCUUCAUGUAAUUUUGAUGCAGGCCUAAGUUUUUGAGCCACUGCAGUAUGCAUUUCUAUUUUUAAGCAAAGAUCUUGGUCUUUCUUUUUGGACAUUGUAGAAAUAACAUGAACUUGUUUUUUGUUUGUUUUUGUUUUGUUUUGUUUUAAG
rnacentral:lncRNA from 1 species